UCCGGGAUAGCUGAGUUGGUACAGCAGUCGGCUGUUAACCGAAAGAUCGGGGGUUCGAGUCCCUCUCCCGGAGCUA
rnacentral:tRNA from 1 species